CGGUGAAUAGUAGAACUUGGUAGCGCAUCCUGAUUUUAGGUAUAGCGGACCAGAGGGUCGGGGGUUCGAAUCCCUCUUCACCGA
rnacentral:tRNA from 1 species